GUUGGCCAGGCACCAAACCGAGGCAGGAGACGGAUGGAGAGGCUGCCCUCCAAGUCAGCCAUUCAGGAACUUCAAGGAAUCCUGGAGAACUUCAACAGAACCUCCCACCAACCAAAGACAGCACCUCCGUCCACUGAUCCAGACCAGGACCCAGACCAGGACCAAGACCAGGA